rnacentral:sRNA from 1 species
AGUGGGCCAAGACUAGAUGCUCAUCAACGUAUGGAUGGAUGGUGCGUCUACACAAUGGCGUUUUAUGGGACCCUAAAGCAAACUGAAAUCAUGACAUUUGCAGGUAAAUGAGUGGAACUGGAGAUUGCUGUGUUGAAGGCGGUAGACACAGAAGGACAAACACCUCAUGUUUUCUCUCACAUAUGAUGUAGAUUUUGAUUGUUACCCAACCAGGAAAGCGAUCAUGAGAGUGGGAAAAGGAGCUCUUGGGUUGGAGGUGAGAAGAGAAACUAAAAAGUCAAGAGAACACAUGUGGCAAAAAAUGAGAAGAGGGACUCCUGAGGGAGGAAGCCAGCGGAGCAGGGUAAGGAACUGGGGGCAAUCAGCAGAAUCGGAGCAUGGUAAUGCAUACCUUUCAUUAAGCCUAUCCCUUUGCAUGCUAAUAUUGGAAACCAAUUAAGAGUUUAAAUUAAUAGUUUUCUCAACUAUGUUUUGAGCUGAGUAACAAUGCCAUGCGUUAUCAGAAAGAAAUUAUAAAGCUGACUUCAUACUUCUUAGGUUUGAAGUAGAUUGGGGACAUCUAAGAAAAGAUGUUGAAUGGGGCAACCGGAGAGGUGGAAGCUGGAACUGUGAUUGAGAAACUGUUUGCUAGUGGACAGAGAAGAGAACAUGGUGAUGUCGUGUGGGUACUGCAAAAGAACUGCCAGGGCUAAAACCUGAGAAGCCCAAGAGGCUCCAUGAGAACGGGGUCCAGUGGUGCAGUGGAAGACGAAAAAUGGCUCUGUAAUUUCAACAACAUGGAAGGCCAAGACAGGAGAACAGAGACUCAAUAGCCAGUCUGAAAUACAGUGUGAGGCCCCAUGGUUAAUUACUAACUAAUAACAUCGUUGCAUUGGUUUAAUGGGGGUGGAGAGUGGGCUCUACUUCUUUACAAAAGAGGGAGGGGAUGUUGACUCUGUUUAAAAAAGCAAGACAAAGGCAAUAAGAAACAAUUGCUAUUUAUAGGAAAGCAGAGAAAGUGCCCAAACAGACAUGAGAUCAGGGCUGUAGUGGACUUACCAACAGCAGGAGCAAUUCUCAAGGUGCUUUGCUUUUUAAAGUCCUCCAUAGCUUCUCCUAGGGCUUCAUGGCUCCCACCUGUGAUCCUAGCACAUAGUGUGGUGAGGCAGGAAGGUGGCAACAAGUUCAAGGCCAGUCUGUGUAACAAGGUAUGAUUUUUUUUUCUUAAAGGGAAGGCUUGCAUUGAGUGUCUUCACUGAGUCAGACUCUGACUUUAAUAAGAUCCUCCAGGUGAUCCAACGGUGUGAGGUUGAGUGCUGUGUGAGGUGGAGGGAGAGUGACACUGAGUGGACUAGUAAAGUUAACAAUGGAAAUAAAAUGAAAGGGCACUUUAGCCUUCGCUGUGGAAGAAUGUGUAUGUCCUGUGGUCAGUAGUUUUCAUUUUAAUUGCAUUUUAGGAAUGCAUACCUUAGAAAUGAUCUUGGAAAUGACAACAGGAAAGAGGGCAUUAGUGCUUUGUUUCUAAUGCAUAAGACUCUGACAAAUAACCCAGAACUGUGGGAUGAACUCACAGGAAGUAAUAAUCCUACUGAGCGUUGCCUUUUACUUGAGGCAAUUAAUAAAUGAAAUAAAUGAAUAAAUAAUUAAACAAAAACAAAUUUCUAAAGAAGACCAUUCACACUGAUCAGCAAAUCCAAGAGCAGAGGCCAAACAUCUCCAUGUUUCCUUCUCUUCCAUUUCUUUAUCUGCAGAGAAGGAAUGGAUGGAGCACACAGUCAUUCUAUCCUAAAAUGCAUUAAGUGGAAAAGAAUAAUUUCCUCUUAGCAUAGCAAGCAGAAAUGUAAAACAUAGAUCAAAACAGUCUAUCAGAACAGACUGGGUAAGCCACAGCUCCUCCACAGUAGAGGGUUGUACUAAUGGGCUAAACUCUUGUUGGUGGGUGCUUGUUUGGUUUUGUUUUUUAAGUCUUUCCUUUUGUUUGUGUGUUUGACGGUGGCUCUUUUUCUAUCAUUCUUUCUGUCUGUGGUUAAACUAUUAUUUAGGAGUCAGAUCUUGUAUGUUUUCAUAACCACUCACUCUUAAGCAAUAAGUCUUUGUAUAGAGAAGACUAACAGUUAUGUUCACAGUGAAAUCCAUUUCAUUUCAGUAAAGGCAGCAAAAAUUUCCCUUAAGAGUUAGUGUGCUAACAAAGACGAUCUUUAAGCUAUUAAAAACAACAACGGGACAUAGUUGACACUUUGUACAAAACACUGCUUUUAAUUACCACUGCAGAACACGACUCACAUGUUGUCACCAGUGGCCAGCCGUAAAUACGUUUGAUUUUCCGAGCUCAAGUAAAAUGAUAUUUUUUCUUGCAAUAAUUUGUUUAUAAUAGUCCAUUAACAUCCAACUACUUUACCCAGUAUGAAAACAGUAUGUUUUAGGACUACUAUAAAUGUGGAAAUUCACUAGAAUGAAAAAUAAUUAAAAUAAUACUAAGCCAAUUCUGUCUCAAUACUUGUAUCCACUUCACUAAGAUUUCAUUUCUACAAGAAGCCAGGCAUGUUGUGAUACACUGGCAACAACAGGCUCCCUAAUAAAGCUUACACUGUAAUAGAAGAGAGAGCAAUUAAUCAAGUAAUUGCAUAGGUAAAUGAGUAAUUGCACUUGUGAUUCAUGCUGUGAGGAGUGUUAUGGAAUGUGUCACAUGUGUGUUCGAUCUGUUAGGGGAGGUCACUGGCAGGCAGGUGUAGAGUGGAAGGAAGGCUAUUUCAAGCAGACCGACAUUUGUAAUAUUUACUGUUUUUCCUCUUCUUCAGUUCUACAGCUGUAAACCACCUGCCCUCAGAGCUACUGACUUCAUACUUCUCCUUUUCUAAAGGAUCAGAGUCCAGGCUUUCCAGACUGUACUGAGGUGGCCUAAGUGACCAAUGCAAACACUGUGAUGGCUAUUCAACACGUGAAGCCCAACGCUGUGACAUCAUUUGGACACCAUGCACACUACUAACUUGAGGGUAAUCAGAGCUGCGGACUGAUGGAGUGGAAAGAGUGCUGGGCAGAGGGCCAGAGUCUCAGAGUUCAAGCUUGUUGCUGUAACAUUCGCCAGCUCUGCAUCCUCAGCAAAGAAAUUGCCCGAGUCUUGGAAUCUCUGGAUGACGGACAUGGCCAAUGCUCCUGGCUUCACAUGAAGACGAAAUCAGACCUUAAAUUUUCAUUCGGCAUUCUGUCUGCAGGUUCCUGAUUAUGAAGCUGGAAAUACAUGUGGAGGAUCCUUGACAUGCCCGCUCUGAGCCAUGCCUCCACUCACGGGCCCUGUUUUGACUUCAGGUUUAAAGUCCAGCUGAGUGACUCUCUGUGUUUUCACCAUGGGGCUGCGUCUUUCUUCAAUAUCCAGCUGAGCAGAAAGAAGCAAUGUCCGUCUCUGCAAUCUGUUCUAGUGCAGACACCCGCGACAGGCGACGUCAUCAACUACUUUAGCGUUUCAAGGUGACGUCAAAGCUUCCGUCCAAUCUGCAGGCAUGAGAGGAAGAAUUCUGUCCUAACAUUCCUUGCGUGUCCUUAGACAAGAAGAGAGAAACAUCUGGGAAGGAAGAGCAUGACAACAUCAGCCUCUGAGGUUUGCAGCCUAGUGUGUCAGCCAUGAUGACUGCAAUCUCUGCUAAAGUUACCAGAAAUAGAUUUCAACUCACAGUGCAGUUUCUCCAUUAGAGCAUUCCGUUUCUAAUGCUCCAUUACCCAGCAAGUGGAAUGCCACCAGAGAAGGAGGUAGAGUCAGCACCAAGCAUCAAAGAAAGAAGAGCAUCUCCCGUGAGUACACACAAAGAAGGAUUGUAUAGUGCUCACUGCAAGCUAACAGGUCAGAUAAGUGAGUUGACUCAUUACUGAAGUGCGAGUUUGUAAACUUCGACUGUGUGGUGGAGCACAGCAGACAGCAGACCAAAGCAAAUUCACAUUCCAGAACUUCCUCAGCCACAGGCUGGAUCUGCUGCCCUGAAAUGGGUGCUUUCGUUUUCUAGGUUCUGCUUUUCUCUUCUGUAAAGUCGUGUGGCUGAUCUCAAAGGUUCUUUCCAGCUCAGGAUCUCUAUGUUUCUAAGCAAGGAACCACGUGCUUUACUGCAAACUCAAGAGCCAGUCAUAAGGGCAAGACACCUUUCACUCUUACUGUCUGCAAAGUCAUACGGAAACAAAAUGAGUAAAAGUGUUCCUUCUAGAAUAAAGCAGAAAGUGCCCUCAUAUGCCUCUGUGGGGAGCAUGACUGUAUUUUGACUCUUUGGCACAUGUAAUUUUUAAAAAAGUUGGGACUCACAUCAUAAAUAAUGUUGAAUGGAGCUUACCAACAUCCAUACAGAAGUACCUAGCAACUUUUCAUGACUGCACUGGGGGAUUCCUUACAUCAAAGACACAUCGUAUUUAUCUCAACAAAGAUACUGGAUGAGAACUUGAAAUGAAUAUGUUAAGCAAUGAGUAGUUUUCAGUCACAAUCCCUGUAAAAACAAAUUUGGGGAAAUUACCAAGCAACAUAUGUGAGGCCAGAGAGAUGCAUUGCUGACUUCUUUUUGUUUACCUGCUAGUAGAGUAUGUUUUAAAUAUUCAUUAAAUUAUUUAAUAUAGGACUUUGAUUAUUAACCUCCAACAAAUAGCUACAUCUUAAAAAUUAAAAUUACAGCUAAGCUCUGGCCUUCAUGUGGGUCUGGAACAACUGGAAUGGAGGCUAUGCAAAAUCUGUUGCCUGUAUGUGGAAUAUGUUGUACUACCUGGGCUACAUUGUGAGUCCUCUGUGGAAGAAGUGCCUAGCCUCAAAGACAUGAAGUGCCAUUGUUGGAGGUCAGGUAUACCCAGGGGGUCCUACCCACUCAGAAGAG